rnacentral:rRNA from 1 species
ACUCCUACGGGAGGCAGCAGUGGGGAAUAUUGCACAAUGGGCGCAAGCCUGAUGCAGCGACGCCGCGUGGGGGAUGAAGGCCUUCGGGUUGUAAACCCCUUUCAGCAGGGAAGAAGCGAAAGUGACGGUACCUGCAGAAGAAGCGCCGGCUAACUACGUGCCAGCAGCCGCGGUAAUACGUAGGGCGCAAGCGUUGUCCGGAAUUAUUGGGCGUAAAGAGCUCGUAGGCGGUUUGUCGCGUCUGCUGUGAAAUCCCGAGGCUCAACCUCGGGCCUGCAGUGGGUACGGGCAGACUAGAGUGUGGUAGGGGAGACUGGAAUUCCUGGUGUAGCGGUGGAAUGCGCAGAUAUCAGGAGGAACACCGAUGGCGAAGGCAGGUCUCUGGGCCACAACUGACGCUGAGGAGCGAAAGCGUGGGGAGCGAACAGGAUUAGAUACCCUGGUAGGCUCUGC